GCUUAUGUUUUUCAUAGAACUUAAUGAUUCUUGCGUGUAUCUCUAUUAUGCAAUUCACGUAGGGAACUUGUAGGGAAUGUUUUGGGUUGUCUGAUAGGAGCAUAUUUAUGCGCCUUAGUUAGCUAGUUCUUAUGCAUUUUCUUUAUGUUUUCUUCGUUAAAGUAGUCUUUUGAGCUACUUUCAUGUGUUUUCAGGCUUAAAGGGCAUAUGACAUAAAAGGAUGCAAAUUGGAGCCUUUUGGAGCAAAAUGGAGCUUAGAUUGGAAAGUACAUGCUUGGAGCACAAGGAAUGGACGAGUUUGAAGGGCAAAGGAGCUUAAGAAAUGAAGAAAUGAAUGUGAAGAACAAAGAAUUCAGAAUUAGAAACCAAAGUUUCUAAAGUUGGAAGUUUCUAUUCUUGGAGGUUUCCAUUUGUGAGAGUUUCUAUUCUUGGCGUUGGGCUUUUUGAUGACCUAUCCUUACCUCUUGGACUUGAGCCACACUUCCUAGCCCAUUCUCUCUUAAAUUCUGACUUAUUAGGGCCUUUAGUUGUGGAUUUGGGUUAUACAAAUCCCUGUUUAAAACUAAGUGGACCUAAGCCCUAAUUCUUUGUGGAUAUUCACCCUCUGCCGUACCUAAACCCUAGCCCAUUUCCAAAUCUGAUCUCCCUAACCCUAUGCCGCACCUAGGGUUUUAAAUAUCUGAUUUCCUUGCCUUGCAAGGCAUUCUAGAAGCCUAAACCCUAGCCCACUAAACCAGCCGAACCCUAGGCCUUUUCCCUUGCAAAUUCUGAUUGUUUUAACCUAUUUUCUGGUGGAUUUGGGUUUCUAGAAACCCUAAUCUGAUUGCUAGGGUUUUUAAGUGCCUAUAUAUACUCUUUUAAACCUCUUGGCCGAAUAUACCACCCCCCAUAUCAUCCAUUCACUCCAGAAAACCAUUCUAAACCCUUGCCGCAACCAUCAAUCCCAUCCUCCCUAGUUCUAAGUCCUUGCCGUGCCUCCCUAGUCCUUUUAACCCUUCUACCCUCUUCCAUAACCUUCCAUCCACCACAGCCGUGCCUUCCCACCACCAUCACCACCUUGUGCAGCCACCAAAGGAGGAGAAAGAAGGAGUGUCGUGCAGUCCAAAGGAGGAAGACACCUUGCACAUGCAAUCUGCCAUUAGUGGAGUGUUUGGAGUUCUUUCUUUCUUUGUUUCUGUUUUCAUGUUUAAUUUACAUUGUUGUUCAAUUAUGUUAGACAUGUGGAACUAAUUUCUUUUUAGUUAGAGGUGAAUUUGAAGCCAUGGACAU
rnacentral:lncRNA from 1 species